rnacentral:tRNA from 1 species
GGGGAUAUAGCUCAGCGGUAGAGCGCUUGCCUAGGAAGCGCAAGGCCCUGGGUUCGGUCCCCAGCUCCG